rnacentral:lncRNA from 1 species
GGUUAUUUUUGUUUUCAGUUUUUAUAUUCUUAAGCCAAGUGUCAACAAUUAUCUAAAAAGAUUUGGUCCUUAAUACAGUCUAUUAAGCCCCCACCCCCAAGUAGUGGAUAUGGACUUCCCAGAAUAUGCUGGUUUCUAGAACUCUUUGUGAUGUGGAAAUGUAUUUCUUUUACCCUAAACAAUAUGUUUGGAAAGCUCAAAUGUGAGAGUCAUUGUCUAUUAAUUUUAUUUUGAGGUUUUUUUUUUU